rnacentral:rRNA from 1 species
CAGUCGCCGCGGUAAAACGUAGGGUGCAAGCGUUAUCCGGAAUUAUUGGGCGUAAAGAGCUCGUAGGCGGUUUGUCGCGUCUGCUGUGAAAACUGGAGGCUCAACCUCCAGCCUGCAGUGGGUACGGGCAGACUAGAGUGCGGUAGGGGAGAUUGGAAUUCCUGGUGUAGCGGUGGAAUGCGCAGAUAUCAGGAGGAACACCGAUGGCGAAGGCAGAUCUCUGGGCCGUAACUGACGCUGAGGAACGAAAGCGUGGGGAGCAAACAGGAUUAGAUACCCCUGUAGUCCCUGUCUCUUAUAA